GGGGCUAUAGUUCACUUGGUAGAGUGCUUGCCUCACAUGCAUAAGGCCCUGGGUUCAAUCCCCAGUACCACCA
rnacentral:tRNA from 1 species